UAUUUAAAUUAAAUAUUAGUUAGAUUUUUUUUUAUGAUUUAUUAUUUAAAUGAAUAAUAAUUAUAGAAAAAAUAUAUUUGGUACAUUGGAUCCUGCCAGCUGGUACUGACUCACCCUCACUCUGCGCGGCAACAUAAAAAACAAAAAGAAAAGAAAAUCCUCACAAAAUCCUCACAAAUCUCUCAGAAUCUCCCUUUGCAUUACCUCACGUGUCACUCACUACUAAUUACCUCUCCCUCUCUCAAUGUCUUGACACUCACACCUACCACCAUCCACUCACGUUUUACACACACGCCACCUCACCCUCUCUUCUGUCAAUACCUC
rnacentral:lncRNA from 1 species